GUGCGUAACACGUGAGCAAUCUGCCCUUGUGCGGGGGAUAAGCCGGGGAAACCUGGUCUAAUACCGCAUGACAUCGCCCUUUCGGAUGGAGGGGUGAUCAAAGCUGCUUUCGGGCAGCGCGCAGGGAGGGGCUCGCGGGGUAUCAGGUAGUUGGUGAGGUAACGGCUCACCAAGGCUUCGACGGGUAGCUGGUCUGAGAGGAUGAUCAGCCACACUGGGACUGAGACACGGCCCAGACUCC
rnacentral:rRNA from 1 species